rnacentral:rRNA from 1 species
GACGAACGCUGGCGGCGUGCUUAACACAUGCAAGUCGAACGGUAAGGCCCUUCGGGGUACACGAGUGGCGAACGGGUGAGUAACACGUGGGUGAUCUGCCCUGCACUUCGGGAUAAGCCUGGGAAACUGGGUCUAAUACCGGAUAGGACCACUGCCUGCAUGGGUGGUGGUGGAAAGCUUUUGCGGGGUGGGAUGGGCCCGCGGCCUAUCAGCUUGUUGGUGGGGUGAUGGCCUACCAAGGCGACGACGGGUAGCCGGCCUGAGAGGGUGACCGGCCACACUGGGACUGAGAUACGGCCCAGACUCCUACGGGAGGCAGCAGUGGGGAAUAUUGCACAAUGGGCGCAAGCCUGAUGCAGCGACGCCGCGUGAGGGAUGACGGCCUUCGGGUUGUAAAACCCUUUUGCCACUGACGAGCAAGGACGGUAGGUGGCGAAUAAGCCUCGGCUAACUACGUGCCAGCAGCCGCAGUAA